rnacentral:rRNA from 1 species
GAUGAACGCUGGCGGCGUGCUUAACACAUGCAAGUCGAACGAAGAUGCCGGAGUGCUUGCACUUUGGCAGACUGAGUGGCGAACGGGUGAGUAACGCGUGAGGAACCUGCCUCAAAGAGGGGGACAACAGUUGGAAACGACUGCUAAUACCGCAUAAGCCCACGACCCGGCAUCGGGUAGAGGGAAAAGGAGCAAUCCGCUUUGAGAUGGCCUCGCGUCCGAUUAGCUAGUUGGUGAGGUAACGGCCCACCAAGGCGACGAUCGGUAGCCGGACUGAGAGGUUGAACGGCCACAUUGGGACUGAGACACGGCCCAGACUCCUACGGGAGGCAGCAGUGGGGAAUUUUGGGACAAUGGGGGNAACCCUGAUCCAGCCAUGCCGCGUGCAGGAUGAAGGCCUUCGGAUUGUAAACUACCUGUUGUUGAGG